rnacentral:rRNA from 1 species
GACGAACGCUGGCGGCGUGCUUAACACAUGCAAGUCGAACGGAAAGGCCCCUUUGGGGGUACUCGAGUGGCGAACGGGUGAGUAACACGUGAGUAACCUGCCCUUGACUUCGGGAUAACUUCAGGAAACUGGGGCUAAUACCGGAUAGGAAUCCUUGCUGCAUGGUGGGGGUUGGAAAGCUUCGGCGGUUUUGGAUGGACUCGCGGCUUAUCAGCUUGUUGGUGGGGUAGUGGCUUACCAAGGCUUUGACGGGUAGCCGGCCUGAGAGGGCGACCGGCCACAGUGGGACUGAGAUACGGCCCAGACUCCUACGGGAGGCAGCAGUGGGGAAUAUUGCACAAUGGGCGGAAGCCUGAUGCAGCAACGCCGCGUGCGGGAGGACGGCCUUCGGGUUGGAAACCGCUUUCAGCAGGGGCGAAGCUUGUGGUGACGGUACCUGCAGAAGAAGCACCGGCUAACUACGUG